rnacentral:misc_RNA from 1 species
AAAUGCUUCACAUAUAACACCUACUGCAUUGGACAGAUGGGAGGCAAGGUUGGAAGAGCUUUUCCAAGGGAGGCCUUUUGAUAUGCUCGAUGCAGCUUUAGCCGAUACCGUUACUAAGUUUCCAGUUGAUAUUCAGCCGUUCAAAGAUAUGAUCGAAGGGAUGAGGAUGGAUCUUAGGAAGUCGAGAUACAAGAAUUUUGACGAACUUUAUCUUUACUGCUAUUAUGUUGCUGGAACUGUUGGGUUGAUGAGUGUUCCUAUCAUGGGCAUUGCACCUGACUCCCAAGCAAGCACAGAGAGUGUGUAUAAUUCUGCCUUAGCAUUAGGCAUAGCUAAUCAGCUCACAAACAUUCUCAGAGAUGUUGGAGAAGAUGCUAGAAGAGGAAGAAUAUAUCUACCACAAGAUGAGCUAGCACAGGCAGGACUUUCAGAUGAGGACAUAUUUGCUGGAAGAGUAACUGAUAAAUGGAGAAACUUCAUGAAGAGUCAGAUUAAGAGAGCUAGAAUGUUCUUUGAUGAGGCUGAGAAAGGAGUUUUGGAGCUUAAUAAAGCUAGCAGAUGGCCGGUGUGGGCCUCAUUGCUAUUAUAUAGGCAAAUAUUGGAUGAGAUUGAAGCAAAUGACUACAACAACUUCACAAAG